CUGAUGGGUGUUCCCUUGUAAGUGAUCUGUUUCUUGUCUUUGAUGGCUUUUAAUAUUCUGUUCUUAUAUUGGAUUUCUGGAAUUUUGAUUAUUAUAUGCCUGGGUGUAGCUCUGUUUGGGUUGUAGGUGGCUGGAGUCCUGUAUGCCUCAUAUAUCUGAGUAUCUUUACCUUUUGCUAAAUUAGGGAAAUUCUCCUGGAUUAUUUCUGUGAGUAGCUUUUGUAGUCCAUUUGUUUGAGUCCCUACUUCUUCUUUUAUGUUCUUAAUUCUUAAGUUAUAGAUCCUCUUAUCAUCUUCUAGUCUUUGUAUUAUUGCUGUUUGUUUUCUUAUUUUUAAAAAGUUUUUCAUUUCAUGCUCCCCCAUUACAAAUCUGCCCUCCAGUUCAGAUAUCCUAUCCUUAGUUUCUUUCAAGCUGUUAUGCUAGCUUUUGAUAGAGUUUUUAGUUUCCAGGUAAUCUCUUUGAACCUGCUUCAUGUAUUCUAUGUUUUCUCUAUUUUCUCCAUUAACCAUUUCUCCCAUUUUUUUCUGUUCUUCCAUUGCACCAUGUUUUUUCUUGGGCAGUUCUUAGUAUUUCUCUAACUAUUCUACUUAUAUCGAGUCUUUUUUUUUUUUUUUUUUUUUUUUUUUUUUUGUCUUUUUCCUUUUUAUCGGUACCAGGGAUUGAACUCACGACUGCCUGCUUGCAAGACAGGCGCUUAUGCCACUGAGCUAAAUCCCCAUAUUCUACUUAUAUCUUGCUUUAUGUCGUUAAAUACUUCUCUUUUGAACUCAUCUAUGAGGCUCCGGAGAUAUUGCUUUAUGUCUACUGGUGCCGUGUCUGAUAUUGCAUGUUUUCUUUCCUCAUUCUCCUUUGCAUUCACCUUUCCUGGAUCAGUGUUCUCAGGAUUGGGGACUGAGGACCCUUUCUUGCUCCUUCUUCUUCCCAAACUUUUUGUUCCUUCCAUACAAGCAAAUAUAGGAGGCCCAGUUUUAUUUUUUUCUCUUUGUUAAAGUUUGUUUGAAUUGCGCCGGCUAGGUGUUCCCGCCCACUGCAGUGUACUAGGGAGACACAGACCUGGGCAGCCUCUGCUGGGCCCGCCCUCCAGGUCAAACUACCUAAGGCUUCACCGAUAGGGUGCACCUCCAGGUGCUGGCACCUGGUUUGGGCUAGCCUACUGGGUCUUAGUCAGUGUCGUCACCUAGGCCAGGUACUCCCCACCAAUCCUGCUUGAGAGGGAAAUAUGUGACUAAAGUUACUGCAGCGUCCUGUUCUGGCAAGUCUGCCCGGUUCCAGUAUGUCCUUUGCUGAAGCCUCCUACUCUAUGGAAGGGUCCCCGUUUUGCUCACUCACCACAGGUCGAUGCAGGGCUCCCUGCCAGUCCCAUUCUCAACUCCAUUGGCCGAUUCCCACUCUCAGAGUUUUUGUGUGUCUCUCUCCCUGCUGUGCCGAUUUGGACGCAGCAGUGGUAGCAGGACAUUCAAAUUGCGGCUUCCAACCGCACAGGAUCCAGCUACUGCGCUGAGAUUUUAUCUGUUCCUGUUAUACCACCGGGAUUGUGUUUCCAGUUGGUUUCUCUUAGCUUAGUUUAUUCCUGGGACGGCAGGGUAUAUCUCCUCUUGCUUAGGACUCCUUGCACUGCCCCAUUCCUGGAUUCUAAGUGGGGUAUCUCAGAGAGCCUCCGUAGCUGCUGCUAUCUAUUCACCAUGUUCUCCUGGAAGUCCUACCCUGCUCUUUUUCAACCUAUUUGUUCCCUUUUGCCUCACAUGAAUGACUUAAAACACUAAGUAUAAGUUGUGGAAAUUCCCAUGCCGGGGUCACCUCUUUUUGGGAGAGAGCUGAGGCAGCUCCCUUCUGGUCCUGGAAACACUGUCCAGGAGGAGGCAAGAACCCAGUCCCACCCUGGGGAAGCCCAAGACUGUCAAAGAGAAGUGACUGGGAGUGGCUGUACACUGACACCUGCUCACGUGCACUGGCCCGGGUCUGUUAGCAGUGCUUUUCAGGGCAUUGGUUCGCUCUGAAUUGUGGUUUCCACCUCAGCUGUCUCCAGUGGGGAAGACAUGCACAGUCCAUGACAGCUGGGAGGCCCAGGGCAGCAUUGAGAAGGAGGCGCUCAGUCUUCUUGGAGGAUGGAAGAGGCCAGGGCUGGACUCUCCAGAAUAUGGCACCAGAACCAACAUCAAAGCCCAGGUCACGUUUCCUCUGUCUUUUACUGUCGGUAUUGGGAAGCUCUGGUAUCCGGGUCUUGUUGACCUGGGAGCAGGGACACCUACUCCCAGGGCUGGCUGUUUCCAAGGGACAAUAGAAGACUCAGCUGAGAUGCUUCUUUCCCUCUUUUUUUAAUCUUUUGACCCAGAGUUUCACUGUGUUGCCCAGGUUGGCCACGGACUCCCUAUCUUUCUGCCUCAGCCUCUGAGUAACUGAAAUCGUAGGUGUGGGCCAUCUCAUCUGGGUUGUGAGUGCUCCUUUCACAACCAACCAACCCAGGACCUGUGGCCCACCACCUCACUUCCUGCCCAAUGCCCACUUGCCCUUAUCACCCUGUGCUAGGCCCCAGUAUGUAGAAGUCCGAGGCCUCAGAUCCAUCAAUUUUACCCAACUCCUGAGCCUGCUUCCCCUGCCCACCUGUUCCUUCCAUGGGAACGGCAGUCCACGUGCGGCUCACAGUCCCUCUUCCUCCCGCCUCCUGCCCCACCUGCCCACGUCCCUUUCUGGGCCCUGUGUGUGAUGUGGCUCCCUCCUUUUGAGACCUGUGAGUUACCAACCAUCUCUCAGUGGCAGUCCUCUCCUCACCUACUAGCCUUGUCAGAAUAGUACGAGAAGCAAUUUCUUUCCUUCUUCACUCAGUUUUCUGAUCCCUCUAGAAUGAGAAAAUGGCUUGAGAGGAGGCCAACCUAUUAUUUUGACAAAAUAUCUGAAAGUGAACUUAAAGAACAAAGGUAUAUUUUGACUUAUGGUUUCAGAAGAGUUAGUCCAUGGUCAGUGGGCUUGGUUGCUUUUGGGGUCGAGGGGAAUGGGACUAGAGGAGCAGAAAAUGUUGCUUUUCAUUAUAAACUAUUUUCUAGUGGACUCUUUUAACCUUAUGCAUGUGCUCCUUUGGUAUGAUUUUGAAAUUCACAAAUGAGUGUAAAUUCCAGGCUGAGAUGACAUAAGCCAUCCAUGCAUCUGGUGCUUUGAAGUCCUGGUCUGCCCCAUUCCUAAUGGCAGCCCUGACUGACUCCUGUCUUGGAGUCUGCACUUCUCUCUCACCCCCCACCCCAUCUCACUUACACAUCCCCCACUGGCCCCUCAGCAAUGCUCUCCCCAGAGUGUGGUCAUUCUGUGUUUUCUUCCCGCCUUCCACCAGUAUCCUGGGAGAAACACUGAUCAUGCUUCCUACAGCCAGUGAGGGAAAGAAACAGCAUGAAAGUAACUGAACAAAAGUUUCCACAAGGGUCUGUAAUGUACAUAAAGCUGUACUUCAAAAGCCAACAUUAUUCUAAUUUUUUCCAGGUUUAAUACUUUUGCUAGCUCCCUGCUGCUUACAAGAUAAAAUGCCUUCUGCAUGACAUGAGGCCCUGAGGCGAACAGAUUUCUUCCGUCACAUACUUCUGUCUCACUACAGGUCCAAAGCAACAGGACCAGCCAGGGUCUGAGGAGUAUAGGCCAGGAAGAAAUCUGCCUAUCCAUAUGGCAGAGAGGCCGGAUGUCUGACUUUCUCACGCACUGGACAGAAAAACGGCAGAACUCCAGGCACUGUGCGGAGUUGUGGGAGCAGAACACAACUCGGGGUGAGAGCAGCUCCUAGCACAGAGGGCAAAACUGUGGCUUGCCUGGCGCCUCCAUGGCUUUGAGCUGCACACCCAGCUUGCAGAACAGUCGCUGAGACAGGUCAGCGUGGAGCUGUGGCCAGGUGUGGCUUUCCUCAAGGUGAAACAAGCCAGGAAGCGCCUCAGACACCCCUGUGAGCCAGCAACCAAAUUUAGCCCACCACUUCCCUGCUGUAUGGCUCAGGAGCCAAGGAUACUUCUUACGUUUUUAAGAGGUUGUAAAAAAAAAAGUCCACGUUCAAAGAUAUGCAGCAGAGACCAUUCAAAGCCCACACGGUCAGAAUUAGUUACUUGCGGGUUCUCUGAAGAGGUUCAUGGUCCCGUGCAACUUAAACAUGACCCGAAUGUAGCCUCACCUGUGUAGUGACUUCAUUGUUAGCAGUCAGGGGCGCAGGAGUGCCCCAGGCUCCAGUCUCCAGCCACCACCUGCCCACAAUGGCGUCCUGGGCCAGGGGCUGUCGGCUGCUUCCUGUUUUUUCACCUAACGUCUGCUGAAUUAGGUCAUCCUAGACCCCAGGCAGUUCUGUAAUUCUGCGCAUCUGUGGUCUCUGCCUUGUUCCAUGUCCACUGCACAUAUUUCACUUCCAGGAGGACCUUGGAAUAGCUUCAGCUGACUUAUGAUCAAGCAAGGAAGCCCGUAAGAUCUUAGCUUCAGCGGUCAAGUCUCCAAAGUCUAGAAAUGGGUUCUCGAGACUGGCAGCGUUAACUCAGGGUUUCCCAGAUGAGCUGUGGUAAAGGACCAAUGGAUAAGCACUUCCAUCAAAUCAAAUCAAAUCAAAGAAGCUACUAGAAAAGUAUAAAAAAUAAAAAGUCCAUCCACAAUACAA